GGGCUGGUAGCUCAGCGGUAGAGCAGUUGACUCUUAAUCAAUUGGCCGAGAGUUCGAAUCUCUCCCAGCCCACCA
rnacentral:tRNA from 2 species